CAUUCAAGCCGGAUUUACAAACACGUGUACAUAGAUAAGGGUCACUUUUCUGCAGACCCGCAGCAAUCCAGUUGUGCGUAUGUUAAUCGUUGGGAUCACUGUGUAAAUCGAUUCCUAUCGGUAUUACCGUCCAUUAAAGCUGGCUCGUUUAAAAUGCGAGCUUCGUUGACGUGCAGACUUUAGUGUUGCAGUUCCAGUCGGUGUAACAUUUUCCCAAACGAUAAAUAAAUAGCCACAAUAUGUUACGUCUUGGUGCACCGAUAAUUACUCGUUAUGGAGGCAGUGCGAAAAUUUUGUCCUCAACCAGAUUUCUUACAAUAGUUGCCCAACCAAUGCAACAGGUAGAGACGGAUCUACAGAACACUUCAUUCGUGGCCAGUAUCUUCCGUGGAAAUGUGGUUCCCGGGCAGGUUUUUCCCUAUCCUGAACCAUCAGAGGAACAAAAAGAACUUAUCCACGAUCUGAUGAACCCAAUUACUCGAUUUCUCCGUUUUGAGCACAAUCCUGCCUUGGCAGAGGAGAACAAGUGUCCGGAUCCAAACACUAUCGACGACUUAUGGAAAAUGGGUGUCUUCGGAAUGACGGCUCCUGAAGAGUACGGAGGUCUAGGAGCCAGCACUACCACUUACGUCACUCUCGCGGAUGCUAUCGGAGCGAUAGAUCUUGGGCUAGGAACCUAUGUUGGAGCUCAUCAGUGCAUCGGUUGGAAGGGUAUUUUCAUGCACGGUACCGAGCAGCAAAAGAACAAGUAUCUUCCUAUGGCUACAAAAGGCGGAACGCUAGCGGCGUUCGCAUUGACUGAACCAAGUGCAGGAUCGGAUCUAAAUUCAAUCAAAUCCCGAGCCGUCAAGAGCUCAUGUGGUAAAUAUUACACAUUGAAUGGAUCAAAACUAUGGAUUUCGGGUGGAAAUGAAGCAGGAAUCUUUACUGUAUUCGCACAAACGGAGGUGUUGCGACCAGAAACAGGACAAAAACAAGAUGCACUCACCGCGUUCAUAGUAGAGCGAGCAUUCGAGGGAGUGUCGAUAGGAGAACCUGAGAAGAAGAUGGGCAUCGCUGCAUCGGGCACUUGUGCAAUAUACUUCGAUGAUGUUAGAAUUCCGAUUGAAAAUGUUCUUGGAGGUGAGGGCAAUGGAUUCAAGGUGGCAGUCACAACACUCAAUAACGGUCGCUUCGCUAUUGGUGGCUCAAUGUCUGGGAUGAUGAGAACUUGCAUCCAAAAAGCAUCACAACAUGCGAACAAGAGAGCACAAUUUGGACGAAAGAUAAAAGAAUUUGGAAAUGUCCAAGAGAAGCUAGCACGGAUGGCCCUGUACCAAUACGUAGUUCAAACCAUGACGUACAUAAUAGUAGGAAACAUCGAUGCCGGUGUUUACGAUAACCAACUGGAAAUGGCAAUAUCGAAAAUAUUUUCAACGGAGGCUGCAUUUUUCGUAUGCGACGAAGCUAUUCAAAUUCUCGGUGGAAACGGUUACAUGAAGGAAAUGGGUCUGGAGAAAUUUCUUCGAGAUGUUAGAGUGUUUAGAAUUUUCGAAGGAGCGAAUGAUGUUAUGCGAAUGUUUGUCGCUCUCCAGGGUGUUAAACAUGCGGGAGAACAAUUGAAAGAACUCAAGCAAGCCGUUGAAAAUCCAACUGCAAACUUAGGUUUGAUAUUGAAAGCAGGAUCGCGUCGGUUUGCUCGUAGACUAGGCAUCGAGAAUGGAAACGAUUUGAGUGAGUAUGUGGCCAGUCCGCUGAGGGAAUCCGCUAGAAAAUGUUCGGAAAGUGUGAACAUAUUUGCAAAGUCAGUUGAAUCAAAUUUGUUACUCCACGGUAAAAGCAUUGUGGGACAGCAGUUUACACUAAAACGACUGGCUGACUGUAUCAUAGAUAUUUAUGCCAUGGCUUGUGUACUUUCGCGAGCAAGUAGAGCCAUUGAGCGAAAUCUACCUUCUGCCGAACAUGAAUAUUUGAUGGCCGUUGCGUGGUGUACUGAAGCUAAUGAUCGUGUCCAAUGCAAUAUUAGGCAAAUAAGUACAGGACAUUUUCUAGAGCAUUGUAACAUCCUUAGUCGAAUAGCCAAGAACAUCUGCGAAAACGAAGGUGUUUCACAACCCCUGCCACUCGAAUUACUUCGUGAUGUCGGCAAUGGGUAACAAACUUGCAAUGCACCUACGUGAAAGGAUUCGAUUAGGUUGAAUGUACUGACCUGAUAAUUUAUGACCUUCGAGCUCCCAUCAAAAUUCAUAAUAUAAUUUUUUAAGAUGAUAAAAUCCUAAAAUCCCCGAGUUUCUGGUUCGACUGCGUCAUGAAGGUGAAAGUAGACUACAAAAUUUAUAUCUAUUAUACGCGUCUUAUCGAUAGAUUAACCUGAUUUCUGAUAGCGGCUCGAAGGAAUUAUGCGAAACCUUCGAGUCAUUUUUCUAUUCAGUAGCCCUCCAGUAGAGUGUGUGAGAAGGUUUAGCAUUGCAGUAGAUUUCGUCUUCGCUCCGGAAAUGAUAAGAAUAGGAGUCAGUUUUGUGUCCAUAAGUGGGAAAGGAUUGAAAUAUGUACCGCGAUACCUUCACUCCAGCUUAGUUCGACCAACGCAAUCCGAUGCCAGCCCGGAAUCCGUCAAUACUUCCUUCAUGGCGAAUCUGUUCCGGGGAGAAAUUUGCCCGAAGCAAGUUUUUCCCUUCCCGGAAGCAGCAGA